rnacentral:tRNA from 1 species
AAGAAAUUAGUUAAAUUAUAACAUUAAAAUGUCAUUUUAAAAUUAUUAUAAUAAAUAAUAUUUCUUA